UCGAGCAGGAGAAACACGAGCAGAGGAGGAAGUUCGAGGCGAGGGAGAGCGAGUGGGAGGUUCGCCUGGCAGAGCUGGAGGCUGAGCUGGCCCAGCGGAGCGGGCAGUGGCAGAGGGAGCAUCGCCAAGAGCAGCGAAUCCGCGAGGAAACCGUCCAGGAUCUGCUCACCCACAACCAGAGGCUGGUGGAUGAGCUGAGCAAGGCUGACACAGAAAAGGACAGACUGCGUUCCCAGCUCCAGGACCAAAAGCACAGUCUCUGGGAGAGCUCCCUGUGCAAGACGGAGCACCGGGACCAACUCCAGAAGCUGCAAGCAAAGAACCGGAGACUUGUCGAAGGGAACGGGGAGCUGGAGCAGAAGGUACGAAGUCUGAGCGAAGAGAAGGAGAUUUUGCAGAUCGCUAUCGAUACACUUGAAGACAGCCUCACUCUGUUACAACAACAUAACAGAGAGCAGGAG